CCUACGGGUGGCUGCAGUGAGGAAUAUUGGUCAAUGGGCGCGAGCCUGAACCAGCCAAGUAGCGUGAAGGAUGACUGCCCUACGGGUUGUAAACUUCUUUUAUAAAGGAAUAAAGUGAGGCCCGUGUGCCUUUUUGUAUGUACUUUAUGAAUAAGGAUCGGCUAACUACGUGCAAGCAGCCGCGGUAAUACGGAGGAUCCGAGCGUUAUCCGGAGUUAUUGGGUUUAAAGGGAGCGUAGAUGGGUUGUUAAGUCAGUUGUUAAAGUUUGCGGCUCAACCGUAAAAUUGCAAUUGAUACUGGCAGCCGUGAGUACAGUUGAGGUAGGCGGAAUUCGUGGUGUAGCUGUGAAAUGCUGAGAUAUCACGAAGAACUCCGAUUGCGAAGGCAGCUUACUAAACUGCCACUGACAUUGAUGCUCGAAAGUGUGGGUAUCAAACAGGAUUAGAUACCCGAGUAGUC
rnacentral:rRNA from 1 species